rnacentral:rRNA from 1 species
CCUACGGGUGGCAGCAGUGGGGAAUAUUGGGCAAUGGGCGCAAGCCUGACCCAGCAACGCCGCGUGAAGGAAGAAGGCUUUCGGGUUGUAAACUUCUUUUCUCAGGGACGAAGCAAGUGACGGUACCUGAGUAAUAAGCCACGGCUAACUACGUGCCAGCAGCCGCGGUAAUACGUAGGUGGCAAGCGUUAUCCGGAUUUACUGGGUGUAAAGGGCGUGUAGGCGGGAAAGCAAGUCAGAUGUGAAAACCCGCGGCCCAACCGCGGGAGUGCAUUGGGAACUGGCGAGCUGGAGUACCGGAGGGGCAGGCGGAAUUCCUAGUGUAGCGGUGAAAUGCGUAGAUAUUAGGAGGAACACCAGUGGCGAAGGCGGCCUGCUGGACGGAGACUGACGCUGAGGCUCGAAAGCGUGGGGAGCAAACAGGAUUAGAUACCCUAGUAGUC